rnacentral:lncRNA from 1 species
UGGCAUGCUCAGUGGGACAAUCUCUACCUCUCAUCUCAACUUUUUAAUCACUAAAGUCCAAGAACAUUGAAAUAGCUUCAAAGAAAAUCAAUUCCGGUUCAACUUUCACCAAGGCUGCUAACUCCAGGUUCUACACUGAUGUGGAAAACAUCCUAGAUGUUAUCUUUGGAAGCUUCGGACCAGUCACGAGGAGCAAAGCAAGUUCAUUAGGACAACAAGCACC